GAACGCACCUUGCGCCCUUUGGCUAUUCCGAAGGGUACGCCUGUUUCAGUAUCAUUAUAACCUUUCUCCCCAAGGCUUUUUGGCCAAGGAGGGAAAGAGCAUAACCGGUGGCCCAGCGGUCUCCCAUCAGGGGGAUUGUCUCGGCUGGAAUGACUGUUGCAAUGGUGGGCCAAAUGGUCUUCCGCACUUGAUAAAUGUACUUUUAUAAAGAGCGGGACCGGUCUGCCGAAAGUUGUAACUAAACCCUUUACCUUUGAUCUGAAAUCAGGCGGGAUUACCCGCUGAACUUAAG
rnacentral:misc_RNA from 1 species